ensembl:lncRNA
GAGGAUGGCAGGUGAGUUUGGAGGCCUCUUUAGGGGAAUUACAAAUGCCUCAUUUCUCCAACUGAAACAUCUGAAUUGCUCCCCAUCCCCCGCUAGAGGUGUCAGGAUGGGGCUUUGUGAUGUCAAGGCCCACCCAGGGCCACCAUUGGCUGGGCAGGAGACUUGCUGACCUCAUAAAGCAUGAGGGUGUGUCUCCCUGGGGAGGGGUAUAUAUAGCGGUGCUCAGGGGCUCUGGAGCAGACCACUGGGAGGCCUCAAAAUGACUAAGCGGACUGGGAAGCCCCAAGGCUCCAGAGUAGUUAGGAAACACCUGCCUCCUGUUACCCGGGGCAAAAGGAUGAAGACCUCCUCUCAAUUGAGGGCCAAAACAAAUGUCAAGGUGGCCAAGGCAAGUGCGAGAGUGAAUAAUCACCUACAGGCAAAGCUGACCAAGAAAACUUCUCAGAAACCGCCCACCACGAGGAACCUUAGAAAAAUCGGAGGCUCAAAACUCUGUAGCCAGGGUUCCAAGGUGAAUGAAGAGCUGAAUCAGAACGGACCAGAGGAGGUCCCAGAGAGUGUGGAGAUGCCUGUCAUUCCAGCGGGACCGGUGGGCAGCCAGUGACUUGAAGGUGGCCAAGGCAAGUGCGAGAGUGAAUAAUCACCUACAGGCAAAGCUGACCAAGAAAACUUCUCAGAAACCGCCCACCACGAGGAACCUUAGAAAAAUCGGAGGCUCAAAGCUCUGUAGCCAGGGUUCCAAGGUGAAUGAAGAGCUGAGUCAGAAUGGACCAGAGGAGGUCCCAGAGAGUGUGGAGAUGCCUGUCAUUCCAGCGGGACCGGUGGGCAGCCAGUGACUUGAAGGAAAUAUGCCGGUGGCUCAGGAAUGGACGAGAGAAGUCUUGACAGUGAUCAAAUACUGAAGGCACUUGUGGAAUCCUAUUUGGAGGCUAAAAUGACAUUUUAUUGUUUGGAAAAUGACUUCUGUAGGCUUGGCCCUAAAGCCGGGUUAGGUAACAUGUUGGAAUCUGUGUCUUUGUAUCCUGUAAUGCAGAAUGGCUCCAAAUUCAUAAGUUGCUUAAUCUUUUAGCAUUAUUAACCAGCAAUAAUGCUCAACUGUUGAACGUGGCUCAGGAAUGACCAUUGAAGAAGACAGUUUGAUGGUAGCUGACUUUCAGCUCCAUUGUAGAAC